UAGUGAUUCUCUGUUUCUUCUUCGUGGACUGAAACAUAACUGCAGAGAAUUCUGAGCACUCGACACGCUGUUGCCCUGUCUCCUGAUUAUUCUCCUGUAUUUCAGGAACUUUAUCUGCUGACGUGGUUCUGCCGCUGCAUGUACCCGUUACACAAUCACUAUCAAUCUCUACAUUCAGUCUAUAUUGCACUUGAUCUCUUGUGAUAAACUGGCAGCAGAAUCAACACAAGAGACAUAUCUUUCCUAAGAAACUCUUUUCCUCAUUCCACACAUCGACAUCUAAAACAGGUUUUAAGGUUUGCACUUGACUUUUAUUGUACAGCUUUCUAAAAAACUAAACUGAUGGGUCUUUUAAUGAACUUAUCAACUGUAAAUAUCAAAUAUUCAAUAUACAUUUCAUACACAAAGUACAAUCAUUUUCUGUUAUUAGAAAACUGACAUUAUUGUCUGGAUUGUUUGUUUUGUUUUUAAUCCUGUCUGUAAUGUUAUGAGAGUUCAUAAGAAGAUUAUAAAGUUAUUAUUACUGGCUUAGUAUUUAUUUUAAGUGUGUCACUGAACAUAAUCGACUCAAAUAAGUUGCACAUUUAUGACUCAAAUUGUUGAUAACUCAAAUAAUUUUUUUCACUUUUGCACCUUACUAUAUGAUGAUUGAAAUAAUAAUGUUUUAUUUUGUUUUUAUUUGUAGAUCAUGAGUAAAAACAAGUGUACAUUAAGAAAAAAGCAUUAUUUUUGAUUGUUUGGGAUCCAGUUUGUAUUCCAGGAUUUAAAAACAAUAAACUUCAAAAUAAUCCUAAAUGAUGAAUUUGGGAAGUUAAACUUCUUCUUUCAGAUCUGUAAUAUUUUCAUAGCAAUAACUGCACUUACAUUUUUCAGCACUUGCACUGAAAUUAACUCAUUUUCCUUUAUAUGAUUAAACAGUGUUUGUUAAUUUAAUCUUUUAUCACUGGUGUUAUUCACUGAAACACUGUCACAUUAUAUAGGAUACGUUACAAAUCCAGGUUAUUGUAGCUAUGUAUUUGUUUUAUGGUAAAUCUAUAGGUUUAAACUCCCUGAAGUUGUAUUGUUUGAACAUACGGCAGCGUGGAUUUAUGGUGUUCAUGUGUUUUCUUAACAGCUGUAACAAAAAAUAUGAUAAAACAAUCUGUAAGUAUUAACUCUUGAGCAUCAAUAAAAAAAAAGUUAUACAUAGGUUCUGGACAUAAAUAUCCAUGUCAAAAAACUGAUAUAAACAUUUUAAUCUUAGGAGCACAGACAUAAGUUUGGUCUCAUUUAAAAGACAUUUGUUGAAGUAAAAGAAA